rnacentral:sRNA from 1 species
UUUUUUUUUUUUGGACCGGGAGAGAGCGAGGAGACACAAUGUAGGUAGCAAGAAGUCCCCGGUUCAGGUGCGGACCCGCCGACAUGGGCAACCAGAGGAUUUAUAACUGAAAUACAUUAUGAAAUUCUAGUUUCGGUUCCCAGCGAUUCUGUUAGUUGUAGAUUCUAAACUAAGAUUGUAUGGCGUUUUCCUUCACGCAGCAACUGAACUGAGUUCCAGAGAAAGGUGCUGUUUACCUAGCAUCAUCUUACCUUGGCUCAUGGUGACCCAAACCUCCGUGUAAAAUGAGAAAUCUUUCUACAGUCCAACUUACUUCCUAUGAGAAAUUGAAUGUGAAGGUCACUUCCUCAGGACUACUGAAGACUUUGAAAGGGACUAUGUUGGUCUUCCCUACGGAUGGAGGGUUUCCUGCGAUCUUAACCAUUCAACUGCCUCCUUCCCUGAAAGAAUUGAGCCAAGAUUCAGAUAAGAUUCUUCAGGCAGGUGAGAAGCUUGGGAAGAUAGAUUUAUGACCUUAGUUAGGGACUUGGCCGAACACCUAUGGGAAGACACUCAGCAUAAGAAACUACAUCUUUUCUUCUAGCAACUGUGCAUACCGACCGUCGAGAUCAAAACAGGCAGGGAAUUACUGGGUAGGCCUUAGGUGUCCAUGAGAUCCUGGGAUGGCAUGAGGCUCCAGGUAGACACAGGAGACUGCUCAGAACCUAGUUUCAACCUGGGAUAUUAUUAGACAUCAGUGAGACUCUGACAGAAGAAAAGGUACCGGUUACAUCCUCCUGACAGCAUGACACCUCAAAAAUAAUUUAGAGAAGGUAAUAGUCCCCUAAAAAUACCUGGGAAAAGCUUAGGACCCUAGAAACAUCAUAGAAAUGGAACAGGUUCCAGUGAGAAACUGGAGCAGGAUUGAGUCCAAGAGAGAACCAAGGAAAACAUUCAAGUCCAAGGAGGUCCUAAGGAAGACUUUAAGCCUUAAUGAGAAUCUAAGACAGACUUUAGAUCUGAACGAAAAUCUCUGGGAAGCCAUAGCCAUGAGUGAGAAGGAGGGGAAUGAUUUCUUCCUCAGUGAGAAUGUGGAAGACAGUUAGAACCAGUGAAAAACCACAGUUUGGAUUUGGUGAGGCCUUAGGUUUCCGUGAAUACCUUUUGAAAGCCUUGGGUUGCAGUAAGAACACCGAAAGCUCUUCUAUCCCAGGGAGGUAUUGCAGAAGACUUUUAAUGCUGUGUGAUCCUGGGGACAUUCUUAGACUGACAGAGAAUCUAGGCAAGAUCUUAGAUUCAACUUUCAAAUAUUGGCAUUGGAUUCUAUGUUCUAUAUAUGGUCUCAUUGUCUUAGGAAAUUAGAGCAACAAAUUGGCUCCAAACCUGGGGAUUAGACCCUAAGCAAUUUGAGGGAAAAUUCACUUCUCCCCAAAAUAUGCAACUAGCAGUAAUGUGGAAAUGAAACACCUAGUAGGUCUAACAAGUUUCUACAGAGCUACUGAGAAGCUCCCUCCCUAAGCCCCAUUCAAACCGUGGCAACAAGAGGCAGAAACACAUCCCAGAGCUGGGACUUAGCCAGCACCAAUGUCACAGCAUGUUUGAGGUUUUUGAGCCUAAAGAAGGACCAAGGACGCUGGGGCAGGACUUCCUGUGAAGCAUCAGAGCUUAGCAUCAAGAGGUGAAAAAAAUGGCAGCCGACUUUCCAAAGGCUUCUCCCAGGUCCAGCAGGCUGAUCAGGACAGAGAAGAACCAGACCUGCUCUACAGACUGUGUACACUGCAGGCUGCUGGAGAUCGCUGCCCAUGCUGCCAUCAGCUCUGCAAACACAAGAGUUGCCUCAUAAGCCCAGAUGCUGUGGGUCCUUCUCCAGUUAGCUCCUCCCUGCCAGUGAAAGAAUUGGAGAGUACUACAGUGUCCUGAGUUGAACACUAGAGGGAGACAAAGGCACAAAAAGCUGGAAUAAGGCAUAACUUCUCCCACUGCGGCAAGACAAGGCAGCCCUGUACUACAUAUGUGCUCAGGAGCUCAGACCAGCCCAGCUUCUUGUGACUUUCAAGAACUCUCUCGGAUCCAGAGGACCCACUCUGUUUGUACAGGAAGGAGCUCCCUUUGCUGAUUCAUGGGUGGUGUCUGCCAGAUGGAUGGACUGGACAGAAACUGCAGCUUGAUGUUUCCUGGACUGCUGAAGACUUUGAAAGGGACUAUGUUGGUCUUCCCUACGGAUGGAGGGUUUCCUGCGAUCUUAACCAUUCAACUGCCUCCUUCCAUGAAAUAAUUGAGCCAAGAUUCAGAUAAGAUUCUUCAGGCAGGUGAGAUGCUUGGGAAGGUAGAUUUUUGACCUUAGUUAGGAACUUGGCCGAACACCUAUGGGAAGACACUCAGCAUAAGAAACUACAUCUUUUCUUCUAGCAACUGUGCAUACCGACCGUCGAGAUCAAAACAGGCAGGGAAUUACUGGGUAGGCCUUAGGUGUCCAUGAGAUCCUGGGAUGGCAUGAGGCUCCAGGUAGACACAGGAGACUGCUCAGAACCUAGUUUCAACCUGGGAUAUUAUUAGACAUCAGUGAGACUCUGACAGAAGAAAAGGUACCAGUUACAUCCUCCUGACAGCAUGACACCUCAAUGAUAAUUUAGAGAAGGUAAUAGUCCCCUAAAAAUACCGGGGAAAAACUUUGGACCCUGGAAACAUCAUAGAAAUGGAACAGGUUCCAGUGAGACCCUGGAGCAGGAUUGAGUCCAAGAGAGAACCAAGGAAAACAUUCAAGUCCAAGGAGGUCCUAAGGAAGACUUUAAGCCUUAAUGAGAAUCUAAGACAGACUUUAGAUCCGAAGGAAAAUCUCUGGGAAGCCAUAGCCAUGAGUGAGAAGGAGGGGAAUGAUUUCUUCCUCAGUGAGAAUGUGGAAGACUGUUAGAACCAGUGAAAAAACACAGUUUGGAUUUGGUGAGGCCUUAGGUUUCUGUGAAUACCUUUUGAAAGCCUUGGGUUGCAGUAAGAACACCAAAAGCUCUUCUAUGCCAGGGAUGUAUUGGAGAAGACUUUAAACGCUGUGUGAUCCUGGGGACAUUCUUAGACCUGACAGAGAAUCUAGGCAAAACCUUAGGUUCAACUUUGCAAUAUUGUAGGACACAGAUCGAACCCUGUCAAGGCCUGAGAUCUUGUGUUUCUCAGGAAGGCCUAACAUACCAGUGUAAUCUUUCCAGAAGUUGACGACACACCGAGAAUCUCUAAGAUCCUUUCUGUUUCACAAAGAAACUAGGGAAGACAGGAGGUCUCAAUAACACUUUGAAGAAGGCCUUUAGCCACAUGGAGAUCUUUUGGAAUGUUGGACGUCGUAUUUCGAACAUGAAGAAAGCCUUCAUUCCCUGUGAAAAUCUCGGAUGGGUUCCUAGACUGCAAUAGAAGUUAAGAAAUAUAUCGGCCCACUUGAUACCCUGUGCAUAGGCUCUAGCAAGAUGCUGUGCAAGGAAUUAGGCCACAGAUACGACUUUGGAAAGCUGUAGGCCACAGGGGUAACCUGGGAAUUCUUGUGGGCCUUGGACCAUAGGCUUCAUUGUGUCUUUGGAGGGAGGUCUUAAAGCAUACGUAGUGUUCCCAUUUAAAUUAUCCAGUCCUGCUUUUUGUAUUGUGAUGCUAAUUCUGCCCCCAGACAGCAGACCACAAAAUACCCAGGUGAUUUCAUGGGAACCGUCUUCCUAUAUUAACCUGUCAAUAAAUCUAGAGCUUCUGAUCGGAGACUAGAAGGGAAAGGUGAGACUGGAGGUUUGACGGUGGUAGCAGCUGGAGAGAGGGAAGGGCAAAAAAUCAAGGAGAGCGGCCUGUAGAGGAGGAGCUGAGAUCGACCUGAUUGCAUUGGAUUCUAUGUUCUAUAUAUGGUCUCAUUGGCUUUGGAAAUUAGAGCAACAAAUUGGCUCCAAACCUGGGGAUUAGAACCCAAGCAACUUGAGGGAAAAUUCACUCCUCCCCACUAUAGGCAAGUAGGGCUGGGCUGUAAAGUUGCCUUGGGGUGAAAAUGAAACACCUAGUGGGUCUACAAGGUUCUAUACAUCUACUGAGAAUCUCCCUCCCUAAGCCCCAUUUAGACCAUGACAGUAACCCAUCUCUGAGUUCAGACUUACCCCAGUACCAAUGUCACAACAUAGUUGGGGUUCGUUGAGCCUAAA